rnacentral:rRNA from 1 species
AUACGGAGGGUGCGAGCGUUAAUCGGAAUUACUGGGCGUAAAGGGUGCGUAGGCGGCUUGAUAAGUCGGAUGUGAAAGCCCCGGGCUUAACCUGGGAAUUGCAUUCGAUACUGUCAGGCUAGAGUAUGUCAGAGGUUGCCGGAAUUCCUGGUGUAGCGGUGAAAUGCGUAGAUAUCAGGAGGAACACCAGUGGCGAAGGCGGCUAACUGGGACAAUACUGACGCUGAGGCACGAAAGCGUGGGGAGCAAACAGGAUUAGAAACCCCAGUAGUCC